GAGGACAUUGUCAGGUGGGG
rnacentral:siRNA from 1 species